rnacentral:lncRNA from 1 species
CCGCCUCGUCCCUCCCUUCCCAAGUCCCCCCUUUGGUUUGUGGAGCCGGUGUUUGAAAACCCUAGACUAAAUGUGUUCAGAAUCAUCCGUUUGUCCGAUUUUGGAAAAGUCUAGGAUUCCUGUGUUAUGUUGCACUUCUACUGAUAACCCCAAAUAACACCUCUAACCCAGACCAACUUUUCAAAGGGCAGACUGGAGAAGUGGAAAUAAGCAACCUAGAUCAUGACAGAACCUUUGUUCUGUCUAUCAUUUACCUACCUACCUACCCACCUACCUACCCACCCUGGUUGUCCUGCAAUUCACUCUGUAAAUUAGGCUGGCCUCGAACUCAGAUCUGCCUGCCUCUUCCUCCCGUGUGAUGGGAUUAAAGGUGUACACCACCAUUGCCCAGCAACCAUGGUUUUAUUAUUUGUCCAGUAUUUUAGGAAAAAAAACAAAACAACUCGAGUAGAAGUGCCUUAAGAAGAGAUACUGCUUUUGUAGUACCAUCCACUUCUCAUCGCCUUCACCUGGCUCCUUCCAACAUGCAGGGCAGCACGAGAAGAGCGGGAGCCAUGACAGAUGUGCAUCGGCGCUUCCUCCAGCUGCUGAUGACUCAUGGCGUGCUGGAGGAGUGGGAGGUUAGGCGCCUGCAGAACCACUGCUACAAAGUCCACGACCGAAAUGCUACUGUAGAUAAGCUGGAGGACUUCAUCAACAAUAUCAACAGUGUCCUGGAGUCUCUGUAUAUUGAGAUAAAGAAAGGCAUCACAGAGGAUGACGGGAGACCCAUUUAUGCACUG